AGCUUGCUGUUUCGCUGACGAGUGGCGGACGGGUGAGUAAUGUCUGGGAAACUGCCUGAUGGAGGGGGAUAACUACUGGAAACGGUAGCUAAUACCGCAUAACGUCGCAAGACCAAAGAGGGGGACCUUCGGGCCUCUUGCCAUCAGAUGUGCCCAGAUGGGAUUAGCUAGUAGGUGGGGUAACGGCUCACCUAGGCGACGAUCCCUAGCUGGUCUGAGAGGAUGACCAGCCACACUGGAACUGAGACACGGUCCAGACUCCUACGGGAGGCAGCAGUGGGGAAUAUUGCACAAUGGGCGCAAGCCUGAUGCAGCCAUGCCGCGUGUAUGAAGAAGGCCUUCGGGUUGUAAAGUACUUUCAGCGGGGAGGAAGGGAGUAAAGUUAAUACCUUUGCUCAUUGACGUUACCCGCAGAAGAAGCACCGGCUAACUCCGUGCCAGCAGCCGCGGUAAUACGGAGGGUGCAAGCGUUAAUCGGAAUUACUGGGCGUAAAGCGCACGCAGGCGGUUUGUUAAGUCAGAUGUGAAAUCCCCGGGCUCAACCUGGGAACUGCAUCUGAUACUGGCAAGCUUGAGUCUCGUAGAGGGGGGUAGAAUUCCAGGUGUAGCGGUGAAAUGCGUAGAGAUCUGGAGAAAUACCGGUGGCGAAGGCGGCCCCCUGGACGAAGACUGACGCUCAGGUGCGAAAGCGUGGGGAGCAAACAGGAUUAGAUACCCUGGUAGUCCACGCCGUAAACGAUGUCGACUUGGAGGUUGUGCCCUUGAGGCGUGGCUUCCGGAGCUAACGCGUUAAGUCGACCGCCUGGGGAGUACGGCCGCAAGGUUAAAACUCAAAUGAAUUGACGGGGGCCCGCACAAGCGGUGGAGCAUGUGGUUUAAUUCGAUGCAACGCGAAGAACCUUACCUGGUCUUGACAUCCACGGAAGUUUUCAGAGAUGAGAAUGUGCCUUCGGGAACCGUGAGACAGGUGCUGCAUGGCUGUCGUCAGCUCGUGUUGUGAAAUGUUGGGUUAAGUCCCGCAACGAGCGCAACCCUUAUCCUUUGUUGCCAGCGGUCCGGCCGGGAACUCAAAGGAGACUGCCAGUGAUAAACUGGAGGAAGGUGGGGAUGACGUCAAGUCAUCAUGGCCCUUACGACCAGGGCUACACACGUGCUACAAUGGCGCAUACAAAGAGAAGCGACCUCGCGAGAGCAAGCGGACCUCAUAAAGUGCGUCGUAGUCCGGAUUGGAGUCUGCAACUCGACUCCAUGAAGUCGGAAUCGCUAGUAAUCGUGGAUCAGAAUGCCACGGUGAAUACGUUCCCGGGCCUUGUACACACCGCCCGUCACACCAUGGGAGUGGGUUGCAAAAGAAGUAGGUAGCUUAACCUUCGGGAGGGCGCUUACCACUUUGUGAUUCAUGACUGGGGUGAAGUCGUAACAAGGUAACCGUAGGGGAACCUGCGGUUG
rnacentral:rRNA from 1 species